rnacentral:misc_RNA from 1 species
GAGAAGAACGUAGCGAAAUGCGAUAAGUAAUGUGAAUUGCAGAAUUCCGUGAAUCAUCGAAUCUUUGAACGCACAUUGCGCCCCCUGGCAUUCCGGGGGGCAUGCCUGUCCGAGCGUCAUUUCUGCCCUCAAGCACGGCUUGUGUGUUGGGUGUGGUCCCCCCGGGGACCUGCCCGAAAGGCAGCGGCGACGUCCGUCUGGUCCUCGAGCGUAUGGGGCUCUGUCACUCGCUCGGGAAGGACCUGCGGGGGUUGGUCACCACUAUAUUUUACCACGGUUGACCUCGGAUCAGGUAGGAGUUACCCGCUGAACUUAAGCAUAUCAAUAAGCGGAGGA